GGUAUUUUGACCGUGCAAAGGUAGCAUAAUCAUUAGUUUUUUAAUUGAAAGCUGGAAUGAAAGGUUGGAUGAAAAAUAAGCUGUCUCUAUUUAAUUUUAUUAGAAUUUUAUUUUUAAGUUAAAAAGCUUAAAUUUAAAUAGAAGACGAGAAGACCCUAUAGAGUUUAAUUUAUUUUUAAAAUAAGAUUAUUGGUAUUUAUUAUUUUUAUUAUAAUAAUGAAUUUAGUUGGGGUGAUUGAAAAAUUUAAUAAACUUUUUUUAUAUAUAAACAUUAAUUUAUGAUUUAUUGAUCCUUUUUUUAAGAUUAAAAGAUAAAAUUACCUUAGGGAUAACAGCGUAAUUUUUUUUAAGAGUUCAAAUCGAAAAAAAAGAUUGCGACCUCGAUGUUGGAUUAAAAUAAAAUUUUGGUGUAGAAGCUAAAA
rnacentral:rRNA from 1 species